UUUCUGUUUCAGUCAUAUUAAGAGGUUGGCCGCCCUGUCAGUGUGGCCUAAAUAUCCGGUGUGCACCAUCAAGUCAUGUUAAGAGGUUGGCCGCCCUGUCAGUUUGACCUAAAUAUCCGGUGUGCACCAUCAAGGUUGGUUUCUUUCCUGGUAUGAAGAGUCAUGUUAAGAGGUUGGCCGAUCUUGCAGUGUGGCCUAAAUAUCCGGUGUGCACCAUCAUGUCAUGUUAAGAGGUUGGCCGCCCUGUCAGUGUGACCUA